UAUAAGGUGCCUGAAAAAGGGUAAUUUUGAUAGAAUUAAUCAUGUGAUAACUCACCCUUAUAAUUAGACAACCUAAUCAUC
rnacentral:tRNA from 1 species